AGUGGAGAAAAGCCUUCAUGUAUUUAAGCUUUAUUUGGGGAUUGUGAAUUAAGCAUCUCCAGAUCAUGUACCAGUAACCCUGAUCUGUGGAGAAAAGCUUGCGAUGGGCACAUUCAUUGGGCACGUAGUACCUGGCUUUGCCCUCACCCUUCUUGGUUUAUGGCACACCGUCAACACUAUCAGAUCUUAUUUUCUCAAAGGCCCUAGUAACUUUAGAGUAAGGUUUUGGUACCCAUUGAACUGCCCUUUUCCCAAAAUUAAACACCUUGAAGUCAUUUUCAUCUUAUCUUUCUCUGUAUUUGCAAUUAUUAUGCAAGUUCUAGACUUCCUGUUUUUUAACUUCUCCUUCAAGCUCCAUAAUUUGGAGCAUGCAACCAUGUUCCUCCACCUUGCCAUAUUUGCAGGGUUUACACUUUCAGCUGAGUUUAUUAAUUCGUUUCAAAUCAUAUCUGGGGUCGUUGGAUUGCUUACGGCCUCUGUUUUCUGCCAAGAGCUUUUCCUUCUCCAUUUCCACUCCACUGACCAUGUUGGUCUUGAAGAGCAUUACCAUUGGUUAUUGCAGCUCAUAGUGUUUGCUAUGCGGCAAGGUUGGUGCUUUACUAUUUUCUUUGUGAAUGAUCCAAUUUGCUCCAUCAUUCUUUUUGUGCAGAAAGAUAUUCAUCGGAGGCUUGACAAAGAACACCACCUUGGGUUCGUGGAGAAUUGCCGCUUCCGAAGUGUAGAGCCUCUUUGGAUUAAGUGGAGUUCUCCGACAAGAGCUGGCUUCAAGCUUGGCAGAUAGUGUUACUCAAAUGUCUCAAGAUUGGCUAAUUCUAUGAUGAGUAGAGAAACUCAUACUAGAGAGUCUCUAGUAGAGACUGUGGUGCCUGAUGCUAAUGGAAAUGGUCCAGUUGACAACUAUAGCUAUGCAGAGCAAAGAUUGCCGUAGGUUGUCGAAUCUAAGUUUAUCAUGGAGGAUCCUUCUGCAGAACCGGUUCAUUUGAACGUGCAAUGAAUGUUGUACAAGAUCACCUGCCUUCAUCUGUUGAGGAACAUAUUUAAGAGCCCCAGAAGCAGACCUAUGCUUCAAAGUUAUGCGUUGCUAAAGGACAACCUGCAUUAUCUGCAGCUCCUCAGCAUUCAGUUGACAGGAGUGCACCACUGGCUUCAGAUUGGAAUGAUCGUCCGAUGCAGUUGAAAGGCCUGUAGCAGAGUCCCCAUGCCAUUCCCCUAGGUAUAAGAGGCGAUCCUAAGUCUGUGCCCCAUUUUUUUCUUCCCUUUCGCUCUACCAGAGUUUCAUAAUUCUCUCUUGCUCUGAAAACCGGAGCUAAGAUGCCUUCUUUGGGCUUAGGAACCUCGCAGUCCAGCCCUGGCUUGGUCAGUGACGCUGCCGCUGCCAUCAAGGAUAUGGGCAUAUUGAUUGGGCUCCACUCUAUGGAAAUGAGGAGGAGGUAAUUUUAGUUGCUUUUAGUUGCAAAACCCGGUCAUGCCUGAUUUCAAGGGCCAAAAUGGUUCAAAGAGAACGAAUAUACAUUACAUGCUGAUAGGAUUUGGUAUCAUUUGGAACUUUAUAUUCACACUGGACAGCUGGUACUAGAUAUUGACAAAAAGUGUGGCUCAAUUAAUUGGAUAUUGGGUUGGGUUCAUUUGGAAUUUGAUUACUGAAAAUGGAAGUAAAGGUGGAGUCGUUUUGUUUUGUUUAUUGAUUUUUAUGUGUUGGUUUUGAAGGUAUCAAUUGGAACUGUGUAUGAAAGCUUUGGAGAAGAACAUAAUUGUCUAUCUGGAAACUGGUUGUGGAAAGACCCACAUAGCCGUGUUGCCUAUGUAUGAACCAGUUGAUACUCAAACCUCAGAAGAACAUGUGUGUUCUGUGUCCUGGAGAUCGUUGUGGUAUAUAUGGAUCAAAUUGCUCCCAAUGGAUUAUUGCAAUAGAGCUGUGUUCUUUCAGAUUUUGAAGCCUGACAUGUUUCUAAAGAAGAUGGAGAGAGAGGUUAGAAGAAGAGGAAGAGGAAGAGGAGAUUGAGUAUCAUUUGCUAGGACUGAAGACCACUAAAUGCUGAAGAAUGGAGUGGAUUUAUGUUAUUAUGCAUAUAUAUGGUCAAGUAAUGUUUAAAUGUACUGUUAUGAACGUUGUCAAAUAGCAUUGGUAGUAGUAUAUAUGUCAAGUUCGCUGAUUUAGUUUCCUUUUGAGACAUUGGACUGUAAGAGUUUGUGUGACAUAUUAGAAUCUGCUUCUUCUUGGCCCCGUGGCUGGCAAUCUUAAAUAGAUUCAGCCGUGUAUGCUUGAGCUAUUAGUUGAUUUUCUGCUUCAGAUGAUGUUUUAAA